rnacentral:tRNA from 1 species
GCGGGUGUAAUUCAAUGGUAGAAUACGAGUUUUCCAAACUCGGUACGGCGGUCCGAUUCCGCUCACCCGCUCCA